rnacentral:rRNA from 1 species
AGUGAGCGCUGGCGGUAGGCCUAACACAUGCAAGUCGAACGGCAGCACAGUAAGAGCUUGCUCUUACGGGUGGCGAGUGGCGGACGGGUGAGGAAUACAUCGGAAUCUACUUUUUCGUGGGGGAUAACGUAGGGAAACUUACGCUAAUACCGCAUACGACCUACGGGUGAAAGCAGGGGAUCUUCGGACCUUGCGCGAUUGAAUGAGCCGAUGUCGGAUUAGCUAGUUGGCGGGGUAAGGGCCCACCAAGGCGACGAUCCGUAGCUGGUCUGAGAGGAUGAUCAGCCACACUGGAACUGAGACACGGUCCAGACUCCUACGGGAGGCAGCAGUGGGGAAUAUUGGACAAUGGCGCAAGCCUGAUCCAGCCAUACCGCGUGGGUGAAGAAGGCCUUCGGGUUGUAAAGCCCUUUUGUUGGGAAAGAAAAGCAGCAGGUUAAUACCCCGCUGUUCUGACGGUACCCAAAGAAUAAGCACCGGCUAACUUCGUG